AAUCAAUCAUUUGCAUAAUUUCUUGCCUUGUCUUUCUUGUUGUUGUCAUAAUGAUUCCUUUGUCUUUAUCAUCCGAUUUAUCAGAUUUCUGAGAAACAGGAAG
rnacentral:ribozyme from 13 species